UGGGGGCAACCCUGAUCCAGCAAUGCCGCGUGUGUGAAGAAGGCCUGAGGGUUGUAAAGCACUUUCGGUGGGGAGGAAAAGCUUGUGUGGAAUAUAUACGAGCUGUGACGUUACCCACAAAAGAAGCACCGGCUAACUCCGUGCCAGCAGCCGCGGUAAUACGGAGGGUGCAAGCGUUAAUCGGAAUUACUGGGCGUAAAGGGCGCGUAGGUGGUUAUGUAAGUUGGCUGUGAAAUCCCUGGGCUUAACCUAGGGUGGUCAGCCAAUACUGCAAGACUAGAGAGUGGUAGAGGGUAGUGGAAUUUCCGGUGUAGCGGUGAAAUGCGUAGAGAUCGGAAGGAACACCAGUGGCGAAGGCGACUACCUGGACCAUCACUGACACUGAGGCGCGAAAGCGUGGGGAGCAAACAGGAUCAGAUACCCUGGUAGUCCACGCCCUAAACUGUGGAAACUAGGUACAGGGAGUAUCGACCCUUCCUGCGCCGUAGCUAACGCGUUAAGUUUCCCGCCUGGGGACUACGGUCGCAAGACUAAAACUCAAAGGAAUUGACGG
rnacentral:rRNA from 1 species